rnacentral:rRNA from 1 species
CCUACGGGAGGCUGCAGUGAGGAAUAUUGGUCAAUGGCCGCAGGGCUGAACCAGCCAAGUCGCGUGAGGGAUGACGGUCCUAUGGAUUGUAAACCUCUUUUGUCAGGGAGCAAAGGGCGCCACGUGUGGCGCUUUGCGAGUACCUGAAGAAAAAGCAUCGGCUAACUCCGUGCCAGCAGCCGCGGUAAUACGGAGGAUGCGAGCGUUAUCCGGAUUUAUUGGGUUUAAAGGGUGCGCAGGCGGAAUGUCAAGUCAGCGGUAAAAUUUCGGGGCUCAACCCCGUCGUGCCGUUGAAACUGGCGUUCUUGAGUGAGCGAGAAGUAUGCGGAAUGCGUGGUGUAGCGGUGAAAUGCAUAGAUAUCACGCAGAACUCCGAUUGCGAAGGCAGCAUACCGGCGCUCAACUGACGCUCAUGCACGAAGGCGUGGGUAUCGAACAGGAUUAGAUACCCCGGUAGUC